rnacentral:rRNA from 1 species
UACGGGGGGUGCGAGCGUUGUCCGGAAUCACUGGGCGUAAAGAGCGUGUAGGCGGCUUGUUAAGUCUUGCGUGAAAUCUCGGGGCUCAACCCCGAGCGGUCGUGAGAAACUGGCAGGCUAGAGUGCGGGAGAGGAGAGUGGAAUUCCUGGUGUAGCGGUGAAAUGCGCAGAUAUCAGGAGGAACACCGGUGGCGAAGGCGGGUCUCUGGGCCGAAACUGACGCUGAGGAGCGAAAGCGUGGGGAGCAAACAGG